GCCGUAGAUUUCUUCGUAAGCGGCGGCAAUUUCGUCCUCGGUUUCCAUAGGGCCAUCGUCAAAGGAGGGAGGUGGGACGAAGCCUUCUGGGGGUGGGGUGGGUUCGAAAACGACUUCUUCCUGGAGGCUGGGGUCUUCGAAGAAAGUGGUUUCGGAGUCGGCGGCUUUAAGUUUGGUGGUGGAUGUGAGUUUAAAGGGGAAGACAGGAAAAGGUUUCGAGGCUUUGGAUUUGGGAGUGAGGUUGUUAGGAAGUGGGUGUUGGUUGAGGACAGAGAAUCGAGUUGUACGGAUGGAUAGUGAGGAAAAUGAGGAGAGAGAGGUUGCAGAGAAGGCCAUCGCCGUGAAUAGGAGGAA
rnacentral:lncRNA from 1 species